rnacentral:rRNA from 1 species
GCUAUGGCGAUAAGGAUGAGCGUGCGCAAAGAUUAGCUAGUUGGUGAGGUAACGGCUCACAAGGCGACGAUCUUUAGCUGAUGUGAGAGCAUGAUCAGCCACACGGGCACUGAGACACGGGCCCGACUCCUACGGGAGGCAGCAGUGAGGAAUAUUGGUCAAUGGACGGAAGUCUGAACCAGCCAUGCCGCGUGAAGGAUGAAGGCGUUCUGCGUUGUAAACUUCUUUUAUUUAGGAAGAAACCACCGAUUUCUAUUGGUGUUGACGGUAUUAAAUGAAUAAGCACCGGCUAACUCCGUG